GACAGAGGUGCCAAGCGUUAGGCGGAAUCACUGGGCUUAAAGCGUGUGUAGGCGGAUUCCUAAGUACCUUGUGAAAUCCCACGGCUCAACCGUGGAACUGCUCGGUAUACUGGGUAUCUUGAGCCACUUAGGGGCGACCGGAACAAAUGGUGGAGCGGUGAAAUGCGCAGAUAUCAUUUGGAACGCCAAUGGUGAAAAACAGGUCGCUGGGAGUGUGCUGACGCUGAGACACGAAAGCCAGGGGAGCAAAACGGGG
rnacentral:rRNA from 1 species